CUCCACGAAUCAGGAGGGCCUGGGAGGGCCUACAGGGCGCGACGUCGGUGGGCAGGGUUCAGUGGGCGGCCUGAGGCGAAGAGCUGCUUGCCGCCGCCUGCUAGGUUGCGCGCGCACUUCAGGCCUUGCGGGCAUGUCCAGCUCUUCUGUGGCUUCCAGCAGGCGAGGCCAAACAGGAUCUUUCUCACUUCCCUACAUCUCCUGGAUCCUGGAGCUGAUGCAGUCAGGUCCCGUGCUCACCGGGGGAACCGGCGAGCCUCUCCAAAGUAUUAAAGGACACUUCCGGAAGAGCCUUUGGCCUGUGGUCAGCCCGCAGACAUCGGUGGUCUCUGUACCUGUAGGAGCCCCAUGAGGGUCCAGGUGUGGGAGACAGUCCUGGGACAGGGCUUCUGCGGCCGAGGCAGGUGGGCAGGCACUCCAGGGGAGCUGCUGUAAAAGGUCAGCCUGCACACAGGCCUGUGCUCUUCAAGACCACGCAGGCCUCACCAUUCCCUCUGACAGCUCACUGCUGCCCUUCUUCACACACGCAAGUUCCCUGUGUGACAUCUGAGUUGGUGACUGUGGCUUCAAAUGAUCAGGAAAGUAUGUUCCAGGCCCAUCCUCCACCCUCUAUUUCUCUGUCUCACAACACAAAUGUUAAGAAAUGGAUUUGUGUUGCUUUGUUCACUGCUGUUAUU
rnacentral:lncRNA from 1 species